UACGAAGGGAGCUAGCGUUGUUCGGAAUCACUGGGCGUAAAGCGCACGUAGGCGGAUUUGUCAGUCAGGGGUGAAAUCCCGGGGCUCAACCUCGGAACUGCCUUUGAUACAGCAAGUCUUGAGUUCGAGAGAGGUGGGUGGAAUUCCUAGUGUAGAGGUGAAAUUCGUAGAUAUUAGGAAGAACACCGGUGGCGAAGGCGGCCCACUGGCUCGAUACUGACGCUGAGGUGCGAAAGCGUGGGGAGCAAACA
rnacentral:rRNA from 1 species